UACAGAGGUCCCAAGCGUUGUUCGGAUUCACUGGGCGUAAAGGGUGCGCAGGUGGGCUGGUAGGUUCGAUGUGAAAGCCCCGGGCUUAACCCGGGAAUGGCAUUGGAUACUACUGGUCUGGAGGAUCGGAGGGGGGACUGGAAUUCUUGGUGUAGCAGUGAAAUGCGUAGAUAUCAAGAGGAACACCAGUGGCGAAGGCGAGUCCCUGGACGAUACCUGACACUGAGGCACGAAAGCCAAGGGAGCAAACAGG
rnacentral:rRNA from 1 species